rnacentral:rRNA from 1 species
CACGUAGUUAGCCGGUGCUUAUUCUUCGGGUACUAUCAUCCCCGAACCGUAUUAGGGUUCAGGAUUUUCUCCCCGACAAAAGUCCUUUACAACCCGAAGGCCUUCUUCAGACACGCGGCAUGGCUGGAUCAGGCUUGCGCCCAUUGUCCAAAAUUCCCCA